CCUACGGGCUGCACCAGUAGGGAAUCUUCGGCAAUGGACGAAAGUCUGACCGAGCAACGCCGCGUGAGUGAAGAAGGUUUUCGGAUCGUAAAACUCUGUUAGUAGAGAAGAACGUUGAUGAGAGUGGAAAGCUCAUCAAGUGACGGUAACUACCCAGAAAGGGACGGCUAACUACGUGCCAGCAGCCGCGAUAAUACGUAGGUCCCGAGCGUUGUCCGGAUUUAUUGGGCGUAAAGCGAGCGCAGGUGGUUUAUUAAGUCUGGUGUAAAAGGCAGUGGCUCAACCAUUGUAUGCAUUGGAAACUGGUAGACUUGAGUGCAGGAGAGGAGAGUGGAAUUCCAUGUGUAGCGGUGAAAUGCGUAGAUAUAUGGAGGAACACCGGUGGCGAAAGCGGCUCUCUGGCCUGUAACUGACACUGAGGCUCGAAAGCGUGGGGAGCAAACAGGAUUAGAUACCCGGGUAGUC
rnacentral:rRNA from 1 species